rnacentral:rRNA from 1 species
UACGGAGGGUGCAAGCGUUAUCCGGAUUCACUGGGUUUAAAGGGAGCGUAGGUGGGCAGGUAAGUCAGUGGUGAAAUCCCCGUGCUUAACAUGGGAACUGCCGUUGAUACUAUCUGUCUUGAAUGCCGUGGAGAUGAGCGGAAUAUGUCAUGUAGCGGUGAAAUGCUUAGAUAUGACAUAGAACACCGAUUGCGAAGGCAGCUCGUUACACGAACAUUGACUCUGAGGCUCGAAAGCGUGGGGAUCAAACAGG